rnacentral:rRNA from 1 species
UCUCCUACGGGAGGCAGCAGUGAGGAAUAUUGGUCAAUGGAGGCAACUCUGAACCAGCCAAGUCGCGUGAAGGAAGACUGUCCUAUGGAUUGUAAACUUCUUAGUAGGUGAGUAAAUGUAGGUACGUGUACCUACUGCAAGUA